rfam:Gossypium raimondii Chr10_contig_17, whole genome shotgun sequence.
AGUUAAAAUUUUCAUUUAUUUUUAUUGUUAAAAAUUGGCAUAACUGACAAAAUAACUAGACAGUUUCACAUGGCGUGUCACAUGUACCUCAUGACGACGAAUAAGGACCAGUCUUUAAUAAUAAAAUUGGAUAAAAUUUUUAAUA